UCCUACGGGAGGCAGCAGUGAGGAAUAUUGGUCAAUGGACGGAAGUCUGAACCAGCCAAGUAGCGUGCAGGAUGACGGCCCUAUGGGUUGUAAACUGCUUUUAUAUAGGGAUAAAGUCGGGGACGUGUCCCCGUUUGUAGGUACUAUAUGAAUAAGGACCGGCUAAUUCCGUGCCAGCAGCCGCGGUAAUACGGAAGGUCCAGGCGUUAUCCGGAUUUAUUGGGUUUAAAGGGAGCGCAGGCUGAUGAUUAAGCGUGACGUGAAAUGUAGCCGCUCAACGGCUGAACUGCGUCGCGAACUGGUUAUCUUGAGUGAGUUCGAUGUUGGCGGAAUUCGUGGUGUAGCGGUGAAAUGCUUAGAUAUCACGAAGAACUCCGAUUGCGAAGGCAGCCAACAAGGCCUUUACUGACGCUAAAGCUCGAAGGUGCGGGUAUCGAACAGGAUUAGAUACCCUGGUAGUCC
rnacentral:rRNA from 1 species